rnacentral:rRNA from 1 species
CCUACGGGAGGCAGCAGUGGGGAAUUUUGGACAAUGGGCGCAAGCCUGAUCCAGCCAUGCCGCGUGAGUGAAGAAGGCCUUCGGGUUGUAAAGCUCUUUCGGCCGGGAAGAAAUCGCAUUGGUUAAUACCUGGUGUGGAUGACGGUACCGGAAUAAGAAGCACCGGCUAACUACGUGCCAGCAGCCGCGGUAAUACGUAGGGUGCGAGCGUUAAUCGGAAUUACUGGGCGUAAAGCGUGCGCAGGCGGUUUUGUAAGACAGGCGUGAAAUCCCCGGGCUCAACCUGGGAACUGCGCUUGUGACUGCAAGGCUAGAGUACGGCAGAGGGGGGUGGAAUUCCACGUGUAGCAGUGAAAUGCGUAGAGAUGUGGAGGAACACCAAUGGCGAAGGCAGCCCCCUGGGUCGAUACUGACGCUCAUGCACGAAAGCGUGGGUAGCAAACAGGAUUAGAUACCCUGGUAGUCCACGCCCUAAACGAUGUCAACUAGGUGUUGGGAGGGUAAAACCUUUUAGUACCGGAGCUAACGCGUGAAGUUGACCGCCUGGGGAGUACGGCCGCAAGGUUAAAACUCAAAGGAAUUGACGGGGACCCGCACAAGCGGUGGAUGAUGUGGAUUAAUUCGAUGCAACGCGAAAAACCUUACCUACCCUUGACAUGUCAGGAAGUCUUGAGAGAUUGAGAUGUGCCCGAAAGGGAACCUGAACACAGGUGCUGCAUGGCUGUCGUCAGCUCGUGUCGUGAGAUGUUGGGUUAAGUCCCGCAACGAGCGCAACCCUUGUCGUUAAUUGCCAUCAUUUAGUUGGGCACUUUAGCGAGACUGCCGGUGACAAACCGGAGGAAGGUGGGGAUGACGUCAAGUCCUCAUGGCCCUUAUGGGUAGGGCUUCACACGUCAUACAAUGGUCGGUACAAAGGGUCGCCAACCCGCGAGGGGGAGCCAAUCCCAGAAAGCCGAUCGUAGCCCGGAUUGCAGGCUGCAACUCGCCUGCAUGAAGUCGGAAUCGCUAGUAAUCGUGGAUCAGCAUGUCACGGUGAAUACGUUCCCGGGCCUUGUA